GUGUGAUAGGGGAACCCUGAGUGCUCAGCUAUGCUGGGCUUUUGCCAAGAUUAAAACCCUUGGCGAAUAAGUGGUGGGUAAGACGGGUGCCASCCGCCGCGGUAACACCCGCGCCACAAGUGGCAAUCAGUAUUAUUGGGCCUAAAGCGUCCGUAGCAGGUUUUGUAAAUCUCCUGUGAAAUUGUUCAGCUCAACUGAACAACGUGCAAGAGACACUGCAGAACUUGGGACCGGGAGGAGUCAGAGGUAUUCCAUGGGGAGCGGUAAAAUGCUAUAAUCCAUGGAGGACCACCUAUGGCGAAGGCAUCUGACCAGAACGGAUCCGACUGUGAGGGACGAAAGCCAGGGGAGCAAACCGGAUUAGAUACCCGAGUAGUCCUGGCUGUAAACGCUGCGAGCUAGGUGUUGCGCAAUCUUAGUGAUUGUGCAGUAUCGGAGCGAAGGUGUUAAGCUCGCCGCCUGGGAAGUACGGUC
rnacentral:rRNA from 1 species